rnacentral:rRNA from 1 species
UGGGUAACCUGCCUCAAGGAGGGGAAUAGCCUCCCGAAAGGGAGAUUAAUACCGCAUAAUAUGUUUAAGUCGCAUGACUUUAACAUCAAAGGAUUUUCUUUUAGAACUUCCACUUUGAGAUGGACCCGCGGCGCAUUAGCUAGUUGGUGAGGUAACGGCUCACCAAGGCAACGAUGCGUAGCCGACCUGAGAGGGUGAUCGGCCUCACUGGGACUGAGACACGGCCCAGACUCCUAGGGAG